UGGGGAAUAUUGCACAAUGGGCGCAAGCCCGAUGCAGCCAUGCCGCGUGUAUGAAGAAGGCCUUCGGGUUGUAAAGUACUUUCAGCGGGGAGGAAGGGAGUAAAGUUAAUACCUUUGCUCAUUGACGUUACCCGCAGAAGAAGCACCGGCUAACUCCGUGCCAGCAGCCGCGGUAAUACGGAGGGUGCAAGCGUUAAUCGGAAUUACUGGGCGUAAAGCGCACGCAGGCGGGUUGUUAAGUCAGAUGUGAAAACCCCGGGCUCAACCUGGGAACUGCAGCUGAUACUGGCAAGCUUGAGUCUCGUAGAGGGGGGUAGAAUUCCAGGUGUAGCGGUGAAAUGCGUAGAGAUCUGGAGGAAUACCGGUGGCGAAGGCGGCCCCCUGGACGAAGACUGACGCUCAGGUGCGAAAGCGUGGGGAGCAAACAGG
rnacentral:rRNA from 1 species